rnacentral:misc_RNA from 1 species
CCCGUAGGUGAACCCGAGGCGGGGCUGGAACUCCUUCCAGCUCGGCGUCGUCCGCGCCAGCUUGUCGGCAUCGCUCGUCAGCCGCUGCGCAAGCGGGUCGUUCAGCUGCUUCAGAAUCUCCAUCGUCCGGUUGUUGGUCUGAUCGGGCAGGUUGCCGAUGUUGGCGUCCCACCGCAGGCCCAGGUUGAGCGUCAGCCGGUUACUCAGCCGCCAGUCGUCCUGGCCGUAGAACGCGACUUGAUGGAAGUUCUGGACGUGGCUGGCCUGACCGGCGGCGUAUUCGAUCUGGCGCACGGCGCCUGGCGUCUGGAACGCCUGGGGUAGAUCGCGCGGUUGUCGGCGACGGUCAGCGGAUCGUCGAACCAGCGGACGGUGUAGCCAGAAGCGCCGAAGUAGAAGUAGCCGCCCAUCUGCGUGUAGAUGUAGUUCGCGCCCGCCUUCAACGAGUGCUGCCCGCUCAGCUGCGAGAAGUCGUUGCGGAACUGAUACUUCCUGACAGUCGUCUGCUGCGGCGUGUUGGCGUUGGGGCCCGAGUCCACGGAGGGGAAGUCCAGGAAGGCCACGCCGGUGACGUUCGGCAGGAUCUGGUUGUUGAAGUCCUGGUAGUGAAACGAGCUCUGAUUCAGGCGGUUCGACCCGAUCGUGAGGUGGUGACCGGCCGCGAAGUCGUAGUUCCUGGUCGUGUUCGAGUUGCCGUUGUUCAGAUCCGAUGUCGCCGGUACCGGGAUCUGGUCGUUGGGCGACGACUGAUCCUGGUAGGCAAACCGCGCGAAUGCUCUGGCGCCGCCGCUCAUUUGCCAGUCUACCUUGGCGGUCAGCAGCGUGUCGUCGUACGGGGUUGGAAUCGUCGACAGCACCUCGGCGCUGGAAUCGCCUGCAGCUGGUUGAACGCCGUCUGGGUGACGACGUUGUUCGAGCGCUCGCGGAAUCGCUCGAGGGCGCCGAAGAAGAACACCUGGUUGCGCGCGAUCGGGCCGCCGAUCGAGCCGCCGAACUCCUGCCGCGUGAACGGCGCCUUGGUGAACGACGGGUCGGCGUCCUUUCGCUGCAGCUCGAAGAAGUCCAUCGCCCUCGUGUCCGAUCCCCGGUAGCUGCCGAACGUCGUUCCGCGCAGCUGGUUGGUGCCGGACUUGGUGAUGACGUUGACCACGCCGCCGACCGAGCGGCCGCUCUCGGCCGUCCAGCGGUGCUGCAGCACCUCGAACUCCUGGAUCGACUCGUAGGCGAAGUUCUGGAUCAGGCUGCCGACCACGUUGUCCUUGUUGUCGCCGCCGUCCACGUUGACGUCGAGCUGACGGCCGUCGCCGCCGCUCAUGGCGAAGUUGCCGAUGCGUGUCUUGGUCGGGU